rnacentral:rRNA from 1 species
ACGGGUGAGUAAUACAUCGGAACGUGCCCGAUCGUGGGGGAUAACGGAGCGAAAGCUUUGCUAAUACCGCAUACGAUCUACGGAUGAAAGCAGGGGACCGCAAGGCCUUGCGCGGACGGAGCGGCCGAUGGCAGAUUAGGUAGUUGGUGGGAUAAAAGCUUACCAAGCCGACGAUCUGUAGCUGGUCUGAGAGGACGACCAGCCACACUGGGACUGAGACACGGCCCAGACUCCAACGGGAGGCAGCAGUGGGGAAUUUUGGACAAUGGGCGAAAGCCUGAUCCAGCCAUGCCGCGUGCAGGAUGAAGGCCUUCGGGUUGUAAACUGCUUUUGUACGGAACGAAAAGCCUCUUUCUAAUAAAGAGAGGUCAUGACGGUACCGUAAGAAUAAGCGCCGGCUAACUACGUGCCAGCAGCCGCGGUAAUACGUAGGGUGCGAGCGUUAAUCGGAAUUACUGGGCGUAAAGCGUGCGCAGGCGGUGAUGUAAGACAGAUGUGAAAUCCCCGGGCUCAACCUGGGAACUGCAUUUGUGACUGCAUCGCUGGAGUGCGGCAGAGGGGGAUGGAAUUCCGCGUGUAGCAGUG